UACGUAGGGUGCAAGCGUUGUCCGGAAUUAUUGGGCGUAAAGAGCUCGUAGGCGGCUUGUUGCGUCGACCGUGAAAACCCGGGGCUCAACUUCGGGCUUGCGUUCGAUACGGGCAGGCUAGAGUUCGGUAGGGGAGACUGGAAUUCCUGGUGUAGCGGUGAAAUGCGCAGAUAUCAGGAGGAACACCGGUGGCGAAGGCGGGUCUCUGGGCCGAUACUGACGCUGAGGAGCGAAAGCGUGGGGAGCGAACAGG
rnacentral:rRNA from 1 species